rnacentral:rRNA from 1 species
AGAGUUUGAUCCUGGCUCAGAUUGAACGCUGGCGGCAGGCCUAACACAUGCAAGUCGAGCGGAUGAGAGGAGCUUGCUCCCUGAUUUAGCGGCGGACGGGUGAGUAAUGCCUAGGAAUCUGCCUGGUAGUGGGGGAUAACGUUCCGAAAGGAACGCUAAUACCGCAUACGUCCUACGGGAGAAAGCAGGGGACCUUCGGGCCUUGCGCUAUCAGAUGAGCCUAGGUCGGAUUAGCUAGUUGGUGAGGUAAUGGCUCACCAAGGCGACGAUCCGUAACUGGUCUGAGAGGAUGAUCAGUCACACUGGAACUGAGACACGGUCCAGACUCCUACGGGAGGCAGCAGUGGGGAAUAUUGGACAAUGGGCGAAAGCCUGAUCCAGCCAUGCCGCGUGUGUGAAGAAGGUCUUCGGAUUGUAAAGCACUUUAAGUUGGGAGGAAGGGCAUUAACCUAAUACGUUAGUGUUUUGACGUUACCGACAGAAUAAGCACCGGCUAACUUCGUGCCAGCAGCCGCGGUAAUACGAAGGGUGCAAGCGUUAAUCGGAAUUACUGGGCGUAAAGCGCGCGUAGGUGGUUCGUUAAGUUGGAUGUGAAAGCCCCGGGCUCAACCUGGGAACUGCAUCCAAAACUGGCGAGCUAGAGUACGGUAGAGGGUGGUGGAAUUUCCUGUGUAGCGGUGAAAUGCGUAGA